rnacentral:rRNA from 1 species
UACGGGGGGGGCAAGCGUUGUUCGGAAUUACUGGGCGUAAAGGGCUCGUAGGCGGCCAACUAAGUCGGAUGUGAAAUCCCCAGGCUUAACCUGGGAACUGCAUCCGAUACUGGAUGGCUUGAAUCCGGGAGAGGGAUGCGGAAUUCCAGGUGUAGCGGUGAAAUGCGUAGAUAUCUGGAGGAACACCGGUGGCGAAGGCGGCAUCCUGGACCGGCAUUGACGCUGAGGAGCGAAAGUGCGGGGAGCAAACAGG